rnacentral:lncRNA from 1 species
GCUCAUCAUCAUCAUCGCGCCUCUCAUAAGCCGGCUUCUCGUAGCCCUCCUCUUCUUGCCCCUCAUUACUUGGCCUCCCAUAACUAGGCCUCCUCGGUGGCUCCUCCACCUCCGGACUCUCGUAGCUCGGCCUCCCAUACUGUGGCUUCCUGGGGGACCCUUCCCCACCAUAACCAUACCCGCCACCUUGUUCCUCUCCGAAGCUAGGUUUCCGACCGUACCCAGAUCCAUAUUCAGAACUCGGUGCUUCGUACUCAGGCCUCCGACCAUACCCAGAUCCAUACUCCGAACUGGGCUGCUCGAACUCGGGCCUCCGACCAUACCCAGAUCCAUACUCCGAACUAGGUUGCUCGUAUUCAGGCUUCCGACCGUACCCAGAUCCAUAUUCCGUGCUAGGCUGUUCGUAUUCAGGCUUCCGACCGUACCCAGAUCCAUAUUCCGAGCUAGGCUGUUCGUAUUCAGGCUUCCGACCGUACCCAGAUCCAUAUUCCGAGCUAGGCUGUUCGUAUUCAGGCUUCCGACCGUAGCCAGAUCCAUAUUCCGAGCUAGGCUGUUCGCAUUCAGGCUUCCGACCGUACCCGGAUCCGUACUCCGAACUGGGUUCCUCGUAAUCAGGCUUCCGCCCAUGCCCAGAUCCAUACUCACCCUCCCCACCAAAACUCGACGGCGGCUUCGGCUGAUACCCAUACUCACCACCAUCACCACUGCCUCCGAACCCUCCUUGGCCAGGAGGUGGUCCGGCGUAACCAAGGACCGGACGAGGCUUGGGACGAGCAUAGCUCUUGUAUUCAUUCUCAAGAGCUUCAUCACC